rnacentral:misc_RNA from 1 species
UUUCCGUAGGUGAACCUGCGGAAGGAUCAUUACUGAGUUAGGGUCUUUAUGGCCCGACCUCCAACCCUUUGUUUAAUCUACCAUGUUGCUUUGGCAGGCCCGCUUAGAAAUGGGCCGCCGGAGACCUUUGAGUCUCUGGUCAGUGCCUGCCAGUAGCCUUUCUAAAUUCAUUUAUAACCGUGUCUGAAUAUACAAAGAAAAAUUAAAAUAAAACUUUCAACAACGGAUCUCUUGGUUCUGGCAUCGAUGAAGAACGCGC